AGCGGAGGAAAAGAAAAUAACCAUGAUUCCCUCAGUAACGGCGAGUGAAGCGGGAAAAGCUCAAAUUUGAAAUCUGUCAACAUUUCUUUUGUUGUCCGAGUUGUAAUUUCAAGAAGCUGCUUUGAGUGUAGACGAUCGGUCUAAGUUCCUUGGAACAGGACGUCAGAGAGGGUGAGAACCCCGUCUUUGGUCGAUUGGAUAUGCCAUAUAAAGCGCUUUCGAAGAGUCGAGUUGUUUGGGAAUGCAGCUCUAAAUGGGUGGUAAAUUUCAUCUAAAGCUAAAUAUUGGCGAGAGACCGAUAGCGAACAAGUAGAGUGAUCGAAAGAUGAAAAGAACUUUGAAAAGAGAGUUAAAUAGUACGUGAAAUUGCUGAAAGGGAAGCAUUGGAAAUCAGUCUUACCUGGGUGAGAUCAGUAGUCUCUUCGCGAGACUAUGCACUCUGAACCUGUGGUAGGUCAGCAUCAGUUUUCGGGGGCGGAAAAAGAAUAAGGGAAGGUGGCUUUCCGGGUUCUGCCUGGGGAGCGUUUAUAGCCCUUGUUGUAAUACGUCCACUGGGGACUGAGGACUGCGGCUUCGUGCCAAGGAUGCUGACAUAAUGGUUUUCAAUG
rnacentral:rRNA from 1 species